ensembl:lncRNA
GAGAGAGAGAGAGAGAGAGAGAGAGAGAGAGAGAGAGAGAGAGAAAGAGAGAAAGAGAGAAAGAGAGAGAGAGAGAGAGAAAAAAGAGAGAGGGUUCAUAGAGUUCAUAGUAGUAUGUUAAGCAUACAGUCAAGUACUAUUUUCAGUUAUCAAGUAGUACUUAUUGUUCAUUAUAGUAGUAUCGUUUAAAGUAGCAUAGUUUAAAUUGUCGUAUAGUUUACACAUUACACUAGUUACAGUAUGAAGUAAUCUAUUUGACGGUAAAUGGACUUUUAGACUUGAUCAGCUCAUUCUCCGUGUGUCCCCACACAGUAUUUAAACUCUGUUUUAGGUUACAGAUUCCACGAUGGGGAGGACACAGCUAUUUCCGUCGCUGGAAUUAUUAAAUAACUUUAAUCCCUGAGGGAGGAGGGGGGGGGGAUUAGGCGGUCUUCAUCUCUCCUAAGUGCAGGGCCCUCACUGGCAUUGUGUUUAUUAUUAAGAGUGAUUAAACUGUGACCCGCGAACACUAGGCUUGGUAUCCAAUCGACUUAUUCUCAAUAUUAUUAUUAUCAAUGAACCUGAUGGCAGAUAAAGCCGGCAGGCCCCUUACGCCUUUCACAUAAGAGUGACGUAACCAGAGUGAAUCGCCCUCUAUACCCACAAUGCACCUGGAGCUCAGUUAGAUAGUCACACAAGCUGGGGGCUGGAGGGGGGUAGCUUAGUGGCUACGGUUCAGCCCCCCUCAGCCAAAAGGUUGUGGGUUUGAUCCAAAAACAAUGGAUGUGCAUCCAGAGCGUGAUAAGGUAGUGAACAAUAAAUAGAAAUAGAGAUUUCACAGUGUGAUGCUGGCAUCUGCUGGGAUCUAAAGUCACCACGCGUUAGGCGAGACAAACAACAUCAAUAGCAGAGCUCUGUCCACUCACUGGCUGAGCAACUGUGUGACGCGUAGCUGGGCUGGCGUGAGGGGGGGGGGGGGGGGGGGGUUUAGUAAGAUAGUAAGAUUCUUGUUAACAUUGAGAGGUUUCAUUGCUAACAUUAUUGAAAUCCCUAUCGAUGAGCAUUGACUACAGAUAAUUCGAGGUAUUUUAAUCUAGGAGCAAGUUGAAAUGUUAUUCAUUGUGAUUUGUGUACGAGUUGGGGGGGGGGGUUGUUCAACUCCGGGACAAUAUGUUCUGGAUUCAAACGCCAAUGUCCACAUACCCAUUGGCAAGACACCCUAACCACCUUACCUGCUCCUAAAGGCACACCUGAAUUCACUGUCAAACUAUUUCAUUGAUGUAGUAAAAUGAAUUAAGAGUAACUGUACAGAGCAUGAACCGAUGGAUGGAUGGAUGGAUGAAUAUCUUUGGAGGUGAACUCUACCGUGAGCCAAGCCAUGGAUGCCCGCUACCAGGUGUUCGCCGCUAGUGGCGCCAUGGUAACGGAUGUACUCCCGCUCGCUCUGGUGGCGGUUGUCCAUGGUCUUACCCAGGCCAUCGGACAGGGUCCCAGCAAACUGAGAGAGAGAGAGGCAGAGAGAGAGAG